rnacentral:lncRNA from 1 species
GGAGUUGCGGCUGUAACUUCUGUCACUCGGGUUUCAUUCACGUUGGGAAGGACUAUUUAUAAUGUUUGGGUUCCCGGCAAAAAGGUGAAAACACUUUUUUAAUCCGUUGGCAUUUGGUAACCCUAAACCCUAAGUCGUCUUUAAUUAUACGUGUUAAACCUUGUAGCAAUAAUAGUUUAUCUAUACAUGUUACUUAUGACAUGGCCUGGCACUUUAUCCACAGAUAUUACAUGCAUCACUUGAAGAAAAUAACUAUUGAAAAUUUGUUCCUGUUCCAGUAUUUUAAACAGACACAUGUAGGCCUGAGACAGAUCAGGUAUCU